rnacentral:lncRNA from 1 species
UCCAAGAAACGAGUCUCUACAUCUCCCGCCGCAACAUCCAGUUGUUAUAAACCCGUGUGUUUGUGUGUGCUUCCCUUCCGCAGGUCCAAGUGCUGCUGUACUACUUGCAGCACCCGCCCCUCUCCUUCGCCGAGCUCAAGCGCAACCUGCUCUACUUCUCCACUGACGUGUAGACUACAAGCAAACGGCGGACCACCUUUUUCAAAGCGGGGAGACGCACAACCCGACCGAGGAGGAGGUGGCGGACAAUGUUGUUGUUGUCGUUAUUCCCCGGGACUCUCGGACGACUGUUUUGUACACCUCCCCCUGUACUUCCCCCCUUUAGUAGUCCGAAUCUCUUCCCGGGAAGCGGCAAAACACGGACGUUCUGCCCCAAGACAACGAGGGCAACCGUCUCCUCCCCGAACGGCAGCUCGGAAGGAACUACGGGCUCGCAUUCCCGUCCUUCCUUCCUCCGAAGCGGUUUUCCUCGCGCCCGCGUCACGAAAAGGUCCCAAACGAGAGCUCUCGUUUCCCCCUCGCGGUUUAUAUUUAUGGUUUGACGCGGAGAUAUUUUUGUUGCCAAAUUCCCCAGCUUCGUGGCUUCGGUCUCCUCGAUCCGGAGCUUUUCUUGUGGGGAAACCGUGCCCCGAACAGGGUUUCGUUGCUUACAGGGUCCGACUCCGGAAGUCUCAGGGGAGGAGGGUUUCCUUUCCCCGCAAACGACGGAUUCGCUUCUUGCACAUCCAAGGCCUCUCUCUUGUUUUUAUUUUAGUUGUAUUAUUUAAUAAGAGUUUUAUUCACGGAUCUCGCCGGGACGACUUAAGCUUAAAGUUUCUGACAAGCGGUACUAUUGUGCUCCAUUUUGGCGCCCAAACAGGGACACCCGUCGACUCAAAACCUUCAGAUUUAAAGUUAGGAAACUACGCUCUCUUUUCUUGGCGCCCAAACAGGGACACCCGUCGACUCAAAACCUUCAGAUUUAAAGUUAGGAAACUACGCUCUCUUUUCUUGGCGCCCAAACAGGGACACCCGUCAACUCAAAACCUAUAG